UCAUCUGGGACAGCAUAAAUGAAGCGGAAAAAUGUCUGUAUUGUCCUCAUCGAUUACAACAGUGUCACAUCUGCCAACAAUACAGCAGACAUGGGAACAAAAAUGCAAAGUCAUUGCAACAAUAGUGUAAAUGUUUGCUAUUGCCUAAUCUCCCAGAGACCAUGUGAUGUCCAUGGUCUCUUACCCCCAAAAUGUCCCAUUCAUCUAAACGGUGACGAAAUUGAAAAUAUGGAGGACAGCUCUAUCUUGACCAAGCAAUAAACCCAUUUGGCAUUGUUGUCCAUGGAUGCAGCAGGAAGAGGAAAGCAGCCUGGAUUGGUUUCAGUAGAAUCAGAACAUCACUAUUGGACAGUGAGUUGUCCAUUAAGAUGGGAGAAGUGUUUGCCUCCAUGUUUUGGUAUCAGUGAUAGGUGGAUCAGAUUGUUAAUCAACAGCAUGUGAAGAAGAGAAGGUGGCUGAAAUACUGCAAGGUGAUAGUUUGACGCAGACUAAGCCCUGAUUACACAUCCUAGAUGAAAAAAUUGUGAAGUACACAGGGGCCCAUGAUGUGGUACAAGGUAUAUAUAAGCAAAAUAAGAUGAGCUGGUCACAAGAUCAUGGGAGGUUAGCAGACCCAUUUCCUGCCCAAAAGAUUGAACUUCACUGAAAACAAAGAUGUGGGAAACUAAGAUUGAACUUCACUGAAAACAAAGAUGUGGGAAACUGAGAACCUGCUGGGUAAAUCUAAAGACCAAAAAUUUUUGGUCAGAGAGGAAUGCAGCGUGCCUGAACUGUUGUGGCUUUAAUUUGGAUUUGUGAAGGAACAAAUGAGAAAGAGAUGUAUGUACCGAGUAGUCUUCAGGGUGUGAUUUUGCUCUGCAACUGAUGUCUCAGAAACAUUGAUUUUUAGGAUGUUUGCAGCAAGAACCUUCACAGCGACUUUAGAAGCCAUUUCCUUCUUUGAUUUGGCCACAGCUCACUCAUCCAAUCGUCAUCAUCAAUGUUUGGCCACUGCACCUUGACAAGGACACCCUUGAAGAUCUCAGAAAAAUCGGCCAAAAUGAUGGAACUAGAACCUUUAAGAGAAAACUAAAGGAAUUGGAUUGUUUAGCUGUGAGAAAAUAAGUCCACAGAGAUCUAAACAAGAAGAAAUGGACUAUAUGAAAGCACAUUACAGGGGAUGAACGGAAGAGUUUCUUGACUAUCUGGGCUUCCAAGGUGUUGCAUUCCUGAAGAACUUCACGUUAAAGACAACUCAAGGCUAGCACUCAUGAAUUGACUGAGGCCAUGGGCAUGUGCAAAGCUGCGUCUUGGAACAUGGCAUCACAUUCAAUCCAGGCAGAGAGGUCAGCAUCUCCAUGAGUACGUGAAUGACAUCUCAUCUCCUUGUGCUUCCCAGAAGGCACCGUUUUCCCCUCCAGCCAGGAUGGGGGAGAGCGGAUUCCGUUCUGCUGGUGACUUGACAGAAAUCAGGAUGACAGUUGGGAUUAAGUAUGUAGCAGAGUGCUAGCUGACAUCAUCCUGUACUAACCUUGGAAAUUCAAUUCUACUGGAAAAGGCCUGAAAAGUUUGAAACAGGAAAUGUAUGUCGACUUCAAACGCAGAUAGCAUGAACAUGAGAAAAAUUGUGUACCUCUUUGGAGAGAUUAAAAGGCUGAGGAAAGGAGAAGCAGAGAAGUUAAGUAAACCACAUAGCUAGUUUGGUAGAGAACCUAGAGGAAGAGCCCAGCAAAGAGGUUGAGGUUGUAAUUUCUGAGCAGCAAAAUAAGCUCCUGGAUGGUCCCUCUCAAUGAAGAUCUCCCACUGAAUUAAAGACAUAACAGGAGAGGCCAUCAUAAGUCCCAGACUGUACCAGUUCUUCUUGUCGACCAUCUUGCACUAUGUGCCUCUGGGCACAGGGGAGACCAGACGAGAGAGUGUGGAUGGCUCGAGGCACACCAUCACCACUUCUGCAUAAACAACUCAAGCAAAUGUGCAUCUUGUGCACAUGCAGUUAACUCCCCAAAGAACAGGAGCUUCCUGGCACCUGGGAGAAAAGAUCCUCCUAGAAGGAAGCCUGCUGUCACCUGGCAAUACAGACCAUCACAGACAGUGAAACAGUAACGCUGACAGCAGAUGUACAAACACUGAAAAUGCUAAACCAGUCACGCAACUCGGUGAGGACCCACAGCCCACAACCUGGAAGAAACUGAGUGGUCUGGAAUAAAUCAGCCUUGAAUAAGUAUGAAUUACAGUGAAAUGGAAAAUGUGAUCCCCCGCACUGAUACUCUACUUCCUCUGGCUCACAGAUGCCAGAUAUAUCACGACUGUGUCACUAGGAUAUUUGGGAAGGGGAAGAAUAGAGCUGGGAUGAAAAUGAAAAAAGAAGAGAGUUGUAGAAAAAGGAAGACAUCAGUGGAGAAGUCAAGACAGGGGAAAGAAAAUGAACAGGAGGAGAAAAAAAUAGGAAAGAAUCAAGAAUCCCAUCAUCCUAAAUCAAGAAUCCCAUCAUCCUAACAGUGGCCAGACUUCUUCCAAGUCCGAUUGAUCUUUAAAGGAUAAAUGGGGAAAAAGAUGAAGAAACAACAAAGGUUAUGAAGAUUGAGAAACUGAAAAGGACAAUAUCUUGAGUUUGUAUUAUAAUUUUUCCAAAGAAUUUUCACUCAUUUACCCCAUUUUAUCUUCACACUAUCCCUGGAUGUGUUAUUAGUUCUACUAGAUAUUAGUUCCAUUUUACAGAUGAGGAAAGUGGCACAGAGAAGUGAAGCAAACAGCCCCAGACAAGUUGGGACUAGAUUCCACGUCCCUCUGUCCCCAGACCAGUGCCCUCAGCACUACGUCCUUUCCACAGUGGCCCAAGAUUCUUUGUCACUGGCCAAAAAAUAUGAGAAAUUACAAGGGCUCCCAAUGGUUUCAAAAAAUUUAAGAUGCUUAAUGUGUUGAUAACUGUUAUAGGAAGCACUCAGUAAAUCCACUGACUACAUACAUAGGACACGUCAGUUUUAUUUUUGAUUUUACCUCCUACUUUCUCGAACUGGGGCGAAUUCAACCUUGCUGAAAUCUACACGUGUAAAAUCAUCAUACACACAUUACUUGUGUCACAGGCCUGACCUGGCAUAAAGAACUUUAUGGUUAGUUAGAAGAUCUGAAAUGAGAUUUCAUUCGUGUUUAUUUGUAUAAUUAUUAUUUUUGUAAUAA